rnacentral:lncRNA from 1 species
AAACUACGCACUCUUUCCAGAGGGCUUGGUACACAAACUCCAAUUUGGGCAGACAGAGGGAUAAUCGAGCUACUUGUGUUCAGACAACCUGGAUCGCCGAAAUCUGUUCAAUGUUAAUCUGGCAACCCCGAGCAAUUUUCCGCUUUUCUUUAUUGCCUUCCCUCUCUUUAGCCCUCCUUUUCCCUCUGACUUCUUCGUCUGCUCUAUAGCGUGGUGGACCUGUCAGAGUCCAGAACGACACAUUUCUUUGUUUAAAGUUCUUUCAUCGUCCUCAGAGUUAUAUACUCUUCUGAUUGUUAGUGUCUCCUCUUCCUACAUUUUCCAGUCGCCACCUUGGCUCUAAAGAUUAUUCGCCAUUCUCUGGCCCUCCACGUGAUAAUCUGUCAAUCAUUCUGAUUUGGGUCUGAUUGUGUCUGUCUGACUCUUUACAAUCAUUACGAGUCACUCUCUUCUCAUUUUGUGUGUGUGCAAUCCCAGAUACCACACGUUGUCUUUCAUACCUGGUGUUCUCACCACCCCUUUAUCGAAUACAAUAUUCAUCAGUCUACAGUCAGGAAUUUAAUUCAAGGUUUCACCAAGGGAACACAACCUUAAAUAGAUUACGAACGGGAAAAUAUCUUUCGAAUAAUUUGGCCGUAUUCUUUUCCAAUUCCAAGCCAUUACCUAAAAAAUAAUUUCAUGUCAUUGAUUGAAAAAGACGUAGCCAAUUCAGGAAGGGGAGACCGGGGCAAGUAGGCUCUUUUUUC